ACACACAAAAAAGAAAAAAAAGGGAAAAAAAAGGAAAAAAAAAAAAGAAAAAAAAAGGAAGUGGAGUGGAAGAGCGGCGGAUACGAUGUCGCGCCCUUCUUUUUCUUUUGUUUCCUUUCUCUCUUCCCCUCUCUCUUCCUCCCACUUU
rnacentral:ribozyme from 1 species